rnacentral:rRNA from 1 species
AUUGAACGCUGGCGGCAUGCCUUACACAUGCAAGUCGAACGGUAACGCGGGGCAACCUGGCGACGAGUGGCGAACGGGUGAGUAAUACAUCGGAACGUGCCCAGUAGUGGGGGAUAGCCCGGCGAAAGCCGGAUUAAUACCGCAUACGACCUACGGGUGAAAGCGGGGGAUCGCAAGACCUCGCGCUAUUGGAGCGGCCGAUGUCAGAUUAGCUAGUUGGUGGGGUAAAGGCCUACCAAGGCGACGAUCUGUAGCUGGUCUGAGAGGACGACCAGCCACACUGGGACUGAGACACGGCCCAGACUCCUACGGGAGGCAGCAGUGGGGAAUUUUGGACAAUGGGGGCAACCCUGAUCCAGCCAUGCCGCGUGCGGGAAGAAGGCCUUCGGGUUGUAAACCGCUUUUGUCGGGGAAGAAACGGUCUGCGCUAAUACCGCGGACUAAUGGCGGUACCCGAAGAAUAAGCACCGGCUAACUACGUGCCAGCAGCCGCGGUAA